rnacentral:tRNA from 1 species
ACUCAGACAUUCAGGCUGCUGUUGAAGUAAGUCUUUCAGAUUUAAUUAAAGAGCAGCAUCGCUCUUUUUUUCAUA